GCCGUAGGUCGCAGGUCGUCACCGCGUGGGAAGGGCGGUGCGGAACUCGGCGCCCUUGGUGACUCCCGUUGCGAGAAUUAGCGAGAGGUUCCCGCUCUUCCCUCCCUAGGCUUCAGUGCACCCUCGUUUCACAGUGUAACUUGACAAGAGUAGAAAAAUGUAGGGGCCAAGAAGAAAAGCUUCCCCUUUCAGCCUCUGAAGGUUUGCUGAAAAUGAGCGGAAAAAUGCAGAUCAACAGGAGAAAAGGCAUGUGUUUAUUUUAACACGCAUACCGUGGGGAAUUGUAGAAGAGUGAUGACCUCAUCACCCAACAAGGUCCAGAUGCCUCUAUAUCCUCUCUUCAUAGCGAAGGGGGAGGGGGUGUGUGGGAGUAAAUGGCAAAAGUUCCUCUGAGCUCUGGGGGAGGUGCUGGGAAGGUGAGGGAUGGAACCUCACCUUCCACAAAGAUUGUCAGACCUGUCCUCAAGAGAAUAGAUGAAAAGUCGGUGUAGUGACAACUCUGUCUCUUCUCUUCUUUCCUGGUCAUUUGAUGAGAUUCCUAAAAUUGGGGGUCUUAUGACAAUUGCCUGUUUUUCCUUUUUUUUUUUUUGGAAAGAAGCUUUGUUAGACAAGAAAAUUCCAGAGAGUCCCUCCAGGUGCUUCUAGAAAGAGGAUCAGAGAAACAAAGGGUGGGGAAGGUCAGAAAGAGAACUUGGGUCUAAGGUUUAUUUCUAAGGCCUUUUGAUUUGCAAAGUACUCAGCAUGCCAAAGCACUAUAUUUUGGGGAAUCAUUUUCUGCACCCCAACAAAACCUUGAUAUGCAAUUUUUCAGUGUAAUCGCAAGAUACCCUUGGUUAUAGCUAUCUGAUAUUUAAUCAUUAACUGAUAAUGAUUUAAUUGCUGCUCUGUAGAUUCAUAACAAGCAGAGUAUUUGAAGCUAUUUGAAACUAUUUCGACUGCAUUUGAAGGAGUUUAUUUUCUGGACACCUGAUGAACUCAAAUUUUUUUGCAAAUUCUUAGCAUUAACUUUCUGGAUACAAUGCAGGGGGCUGCGAGGGCAGAUUGUCUGCUAGAUGUUUUGCAACAGAAGUUUUCUUAGAGUUUUUGUGAGUUUUCCUCUGAAGCUGAUAAAUGCCCUAAAUGAGUUGUAGGAACAGUUUCAAAGUCACUAACGUCUGCUCUUCAGGCAUGUCGUGGCUGGAGCCCAGGCAGUUAUUCAUGUUGCAUGUGCAUCUUAAACUAAGGGUGAGAAGGAAGGAAAUUUCAAAUGAACCUUCCAAUUAAUCUGAUAGGGACUGCUUGUGAGUUCCCCUCCACCUUUCCAGUUAAGGGCCUGACCUAUGCAGACCCUAAUGAGUCAUUUAGCUAUUAAAUAUUUAGAAGGAGGCUUCCAAUGGAGAGAACAAAAGGACAGCAUUGCUUAGUGCAAAAGCAUCAAGUGUCAAAGCCACUGACUGGACAUUUCUCUAACAUUUGUCUUCCCCCGGGCGCUGAAGAGAGAGAUGUUUUACUUUCUCAGUGGAAUGCAGUCACAAGGCACCCAGUAAUAGAAUCCAUUGCUUGUGAACAUUGGGCAGGUUGGUAACUACUGGAUGAACCAUGGGUGUCAUCCACAUAAGGCAUUUUUUUACAUAUUUAUUUACAUGUUUUUUUCUCUAUAAGAAGUGGAGCCAGAAUCCACAGAUGCCAUUAUCCAUCUGCAGCCUUCAUUUACUACCCAGAAGGCAAGAAUAUUGCAUUUUAGAAGUGUCCAGACUUUUGUUCUUUCUUAUCACAAGACUUGGGAAGCUCCGACCGUUCAUGUUUACCCUGAGUGAAAGUCCCAGUCAGAGCCUUGCUUCCUGGAGGGCUUUGAGAUUCUGGUACAAAAGGCAUUUUAUAAGCACAAAGUGGAAAAGCAUCAUUCAUAUUCAUUUGCUGCUGUGGCAUUUCUCCCUGGAAUCUUCCUCUUGUCUGUCAAUGUUGGACCAAAGGACUGGCCUCAUCUACAUUACAAAUAUUCUUUUAAUGGUCUGGAGGUAGGAAAGGGACACGCAGCAGAAGAGUGAGAAGGGAAACUCAAGCUCUCUUGUUGGAGAGUCUCAGGCUUCUUUAUCCAUAAAACUGGUUGGACAUAAUUGGUGUGGGUUUAUGAUUUGUUCUGGAAAAACCUGAGUAUGAAAUCAAUACAGUGUUUUGUG